rnacentral:rRNA from 1 species
GAUGAACGCUGGCGGCGUGCCUAAUACAUGCAAGUCGAGCGAACAGAUGAGGAGCUUGCUCCUCUGACGUUAGCGGCGGACGGGUGAGUAACACGUGGAUAACCUACCUAUAAGACUGGGAUAACUUCGUGAAACCGGAGCUAAUACCGGAUAAUAUAUUGAACCGCAUGGUUCAAUAGUGAAAGACGGUUUUGCUGUCACUUAUAGAUGGAUCCGCGCCGCAUUAGCUAGUUGGUAAGGUAACGGCUUACCAAGGCGACGAUGCGUAGCCGACCUGAGAGGGUGAUCGGCCACACUGGAACUGAGACACGGUCCAGACUCCUACGGGAGGCAGCAGUAGGGAAUCUUCCGCAAUGGGCGAAAGCCUGACGGAGCAACGCCGCGUGAGUGAUGAAGGUCUUCGGAUCGUAAAACUCUGUUAUUAGGGAAGAACAAAUGUGUAAGUAACUAUGCACGUCUUGACGGUACCUAAUCAGAAAGCCACGGCUAACUACGUG